GAGGAGGUUACUAAUAUGACAGAUUAAGGGGAAAAAAGAAGGGUUACUAAUCUGAAGUUCCCUUUUACGCAUACUAAGUUGGUAAUCAGACUGGACACAGCAGGCUUAGCAGCAAAUCAAGGUAUGGGAAUCCGAAUAAUUAAGGACAGGUGAUUUUAGAUGUUGUUUUCGCCAUAAUGCUAUCUUGUAUGCUUGCUACUAUAGCAGUCUAAAGCUAGUUUAGAGCUGUUAGUCAUUUUUACUUCAAACUCACAGGUAAUAGCAAUGAUAGGAAAUGAUACCUGGUCAGGCACCCAUAGAACUCUUUUUUCUAAAAUCUCGAUCAUAUAACGGCACACAUAGUAUCCGGAGUCAUUGCUGUUUUGAGGUUGACGAGGACACUACAAUAUAAGGAAUAAAAGAAAUACAGUAAUACAUCAGGGAUCUCCUUUCCUGCUCCAGCCGGAUCCAACCAAUACACUACAGCAUUCCAAGGGCUAAUGGCUGCUAACAUCCAGUUCUGACUAUAUACACAAAUUAUAAGAGAAAAUAAUAGCAUAUUAAUAGAAUAAAGACAACUUUAACUAUCUUCAGAAUCAAAAGAAAAUAAAAUUAGAAAAUACGCAUUGCACCUACUUCUCAUUAUAAGGUGCAAAGAAUAGUUGAUUACGAUUCUUUCCCUUGUUGCACCCAAAGGCACGAACUAAAUAUUCACACCGAUCUGCCUCUUCCACUGUUGGAUUCAACGGAGAUAGAACAUUACUAUCGCAAAAUCCAUACAUACCCGAAAGUCCUUCGUCUUGACAUCUUUCUUUCAAGUUCCUUAUCCCAUCAAAAGUAGGACAUGAAACAAGUUAAUGAACAAAGAAACUCUAAAUGUUAAUUAGAGAAUUAAAAAAGGACAAGUACUUACUUCAUGAAAAUAUUCAAGUGGGCUGCUCCAAUCGAUUUUUGGAAACACCAAUCAAGCAUGUCCUCAUAGUCAAGCAAAACAUCUAACGGUUGUUCAUUAAAAAAUACACCUUUUGGGAUACUGAAGGAGAUGGUUUCACCUUUCUUUCUCAUUCCCAUAGCUUGAUCUUUCAAAAUUUGCAACCAUCUAGUAGAUACCUUUUCAAGAUCAUCGGCAGUGAUAACAUACUUGUGAGUAGUUGAUCCUUGGGAUGAUGUCGAUCGUGGGGACGGAGUGGUCACCUCAUUUUCCGGGUGCGCGUUGGCCUUUUUCAUAUGAACAACAUACAUCAAAUGAUAAUCCAAGAAUUUACAAAAUUUCAAAAUAAUCCGAGAAUUUACAAAAUACAGA